rnacentral:rRNA from 1 species
GGAGUUAGCCGGUGCUUCUUCUGCGAGUAACGUCACAGAUGUAAGGUAUUAACUUACACCCUUUCCUCCUCGCUGAAAGUGCUUUACAACCCGAAGGCCUUCUUCACACACGCGGCAUGGCUGCAUCAGGGUUUCCCCCAUUGUGCAAUAUUCCCCACUGCUGCCUCCCGUAGGAGUCUGGGCCGUGUCUCAGUCCCAGUGUGGCUGAUCAUCCUCUCAGACCAGCUAGGGAUCGUCGCCUAGGUGAGCCUUUACCUCACCUACUAGCUAAUCCCACCUGGGCUUAUCCAUCAGCGCAAGGCCCGAAGGUCCCCUGCUUUCCCCCGUAGGGCGUAUGCGGUAUUAGCAGUCGUUUCCAACUGUUAUCCCCCACAAUGGGCAAAUUCCCAGGCAUUACUCACCCGUCCGCCGCUCGUCAUCUUCAAAAGCAAGCUUUUGAAAUGUUACCGCUCGACUUGCAUGUGUUAGGCCUGCCGCCAGCGUUCAAUCUGAGCCAGGAUCAAACUCUGA